CCAGUAUCAAGCAUAAUGCCGCAAAGAACACGUGUGCUGGCCUACUGCGCAUCCUACUCGCGCAGUUUACCAGAGACCAUGGACAGUGGCACAGCUUGUCGAUCGCAAAGUAAAUUUUUCUAAUUACUUCACUUAAUAUUGCGUGUAAUCAGUGUGCCGUGUUACGUAGUUUCACAGACAAAGUGCAAAGGACACGUUAUUUCCUUGGUAUAUGUAAUUUCUAUUAAUAGUAGCACCUUAGACAAGAAAAUAAAGAGUCACGACGAGCGUUUAAGGUGUCAAGCGAAAGAAGAGCCUAACAACUUGAGUCAAAACAGUGCAGAUCUCAAGGAACGCAAUUCGUUACGAGAACACGGUGAAAUGGAAGUGAAAUUGUGGCGAGUAUUCCACGAAACGAGUUCUCGACGAUUACCUUCACUCCGCUCGAUGAUGUGUUUCUAAUUUCCUCUUGCUCGCUUCGUCAACAAAAUCUUUUAGAGUGCACCCACAUUACCAAGGCCAGAGAGACGAGGAGACCUAAAAAGAAGGAGACGGAGGGACCUGAAAUGAAAGAGACGGAGAGGAAAGGUUGAAGAAGAGCGGCGCGGGGUCUGGCGAUAGCUCGAGAGGAGGAACGAGAGCGGAAAACGACGAUGAGCUCUAAUUGGAUUAAAAUUUCAUCGACGACGGGAGACACUCGCGCACAGUUUUGCCAGCACUCGAACUUUUCGUGGGUUCCACGGAGGUUCGGCUCUCGACUUUCACGUUGGAUUACGAAAUAAUAGCCGGUGCGGAUGGUGGUUGGACUAGCAAGUGUGUCACGCGAGUAACAUCCAACCGCUUAUAUAUAUAUAUAUAUAUACACGUAUAUACUCCCUGGGAAUCCGCGAGACCAGAGAAAAAGUUAAUGGCUUCGAAACGAGAGCAUAUCGCCUGCACGCCGAACCUCUAAUUUUUCGCUGAAUUGGACAAUCUGUUUAGGACUUCUCUUUCCCGACGCGACGGUCGAUCGACCGCGUAACGUAAUGAGGUUGUACUCGAAUAUCCGUGAAAAUGCCACCCUCGUUCGCGUAUGCCCGUUUCGCGAAAGUGAACGUGCAAGUCGUUCGACGAAAUUACCAGCCACGCGAAGGGCUUGAAAAGUUGUGUUUGACAAAUGAUGUAGUAGGUAUGAUAUAAGUACAGGUUAUCGUAGGCAAUUGAUUAUCGAUUUUUAAAUCCUUUCAACGACUUUCUUCCCGUUCGGACAUAUAAUUUAGGAAAUAUUCGCGUGUUGAUGGUUGCUGGUUUUUUGUAAUUGAAUGUGUAUUUGAUACGUGGUACUGAGCGGGAUUUUGCGUCUACUAGUGAAAUUAUACAGUAGGUGAAAUAUAUGUGAGUAAUGAAUAGAAUUGGAGAAAUAUAAAGAUUGGAUAAGAAAA